AACGCACAAAGAUCAUCGCCUUCAUCUCCGGUUACGGUGAGCACUAUUUCCGCCGUUUCGGUUGUUCCUAUCUUAUCCUAUACUUCAUUCAUUUUUUCGUUGUUAACUCUCUAGAAUCUUCUAUACCCUCAGAUCUUACCGCUUCUUUCUCUCUCCCUGCUUCCUACCUCUUUCCCCAACGCCAACUUCUUCUGCUCACUCUUCGAUCGGGUUCUGUCACCACUUUUUAUUAUUUUUUCCUUUCUAAUGUAAUUAUACAUCCUCUGCUGCUUUCCUUUUGCCCUGAUUUAUCUAUCAAAUUUCUCUCAUGUCUCAUUAUUUUUACUCUCUUUAUGCUGUUAUCAAAAUCUGUCCUAACUUUCAGGCAUUUUACUUUUUACUAGUCCUAUAAAUCAUUUCAAGAAUUUCAAAUAUAUCUCUGUAUUCUUCAGUUCUCUUUGUUUAUGUCGCGGAUAUAAACCUGUUCAUUGCCAUGCUUUGGUGCCGGGUCUAGAUUGCUUGUGCUGUAGGAGACCUGUUAUGUUAUACUUUGUGGCCUCUAUAUGUCGUUAUGUGUCCAUAGAAAUAAGCAAUUUUUACUUGCAAAAUGUAUGGAUUGGAUGUCCAUUCACCUAGUUGAUAUAUUCGAUGAAGAUGAGGUGCCACGGCAAUAAUGCACUUGAGCGUCUUUAUGAAUAACGAGUUCUUGAGACAAGUAAAUAGUACACAUUACAUAAUUUUCUUUAAUAUCCGCAUUCGUGAUAUGGCUUCCUUUUUAAUGAAUUUUGUAAUUAAAUGCCUGAAAAUGAAUGUUUACCUCCUAUUUAAUUGUUUUUUCUUGGCCCCGGGGGAUUUUUUCUAUAGAAUUUUUUGGUCCGUGAAAUUGUUGCUGAGAAAAUAGCAUGGCAAGUCAGGGCUCUAAUGAAGGCUCUAGUUCCGGCAUUACAUCGGCUGAGUGUUCGGAUUCAACUGUUCAACUCAACAUCAAGACNNNNN
rnacentral:lncRNA from 1 species